AAUCAACGCUGGCGGCGUGCCUCAGACAUGCAAGUCGAACGCGAAAUUUCCCUUCGGGGAGAAAGUAGAGUGGCGCACGGGUGAGUAACACGUAGGUAAUUUGCCUUUGGGUGGGGAAUAACUCAGGGAAACUUGAGCUAAUACCGCAUAAUGCAGCGGCUCGACAUCGAGACAGUUGUUAAAGCGGGGGAUUGGAGCAAUCCGACCUCGCGCCUAAAGAGAAGCCUGCGGCAGAUUAGCUAGUUGGUAAGGUAAUGGCUUACCAAGGCGACGAUCUGUAACCGGCCUGAGAGGGCGGGUCGGUCACACUGACACUGACAUACGGGUCGAGACUCCUACGGGAGGCAGCAGUCGGGAAUUUUGGGCAAUGGGCGCAAGCCUCGA
rnacentral:rRNA from 1 species